rnacentral:lncRNA from 1 species
CAAAAGCCCUCGUAUGGAGGCUAGACAAGAUAUUUUUUUAGUGAAAGCCCGGUUAACACAGUGGCUGAGUACUAAGCCUCUGUCUUCUAGGUACCAGUCUUCAAUUUUGCCACCAGUUACAACUAUCCUCCCGGCAUCCGUGAAAUGGCCUAUGUCCUUCUGCAUGCUUUGUGGCAGAACAUUAAACCUGUCUCAGGGCUAAUCUCCAUUCUAGCUCAGGAAUACUAUUGCUUAUUCAGUCUGAAUUACCUAAUGGAAAUCAUAUGCUGUGAACUGACCAUCAGAUCACUCUGCAGGAAGAGUUUGGGAAGGGAUAGGCUUGUAAUCACAAGAAUGAGAGAAGGUUAGAAGUGCUUGAGUGUUUGGCUUGAGGGCACAGGUGACUUGAUGUUCCUCUGAUUUGUUUCUUUGUCUGACUCGGCGUGUCUUGUA